GUUGAAAGAGAAAACUGGAAGCAGCUUGGAUCUGUGCCUCUUUGUGCUAGAAGACUAGAUAUGAUGCUGGUGGCUUUAUUAGCAGCUAUAUGCACAGGUCUUUAUUGCAUCUCACAUUAAAUGGUCUGAUUUUAUUGUCACUUCUUAGAAUUAACUGUAGGGAUUCCUGAAGUCUUGUAUAAACUACUGAGCUGCCCAGGGCUGCCAAUCCACCCUGUGCUGCUGAGUCACCAGGAUGCUUUCCUUGGAAAGAAGGAAAUAGCAAUUUCCAGAAUUACUGCUGUGUGAGGCUGAUCCUGUUCUGUAUUUGUUGUUUCUGUUAUGCUAAGUACUGUGCAGAAAGAAUGGUCUGACAUAAAAACAUGUGUACAGUAAUGAGCUCCUGGCAAAGGGAAGAGGGAGACGCUGACGGCUGCUGCUGGACAGUCAAACAAGUCAGAGGGAGGAGGAAAUACUGUGUUCACUUCGCAGAACUUAGAUGAAAUCAAUUUUUCCGAAGUCUUAAUUCUUCCCCUGCAUUGAAACUCUGUGAUCUGGAAAGCAGCACGUUUGUAUUUCUGUACUGUUGCAUCAAUAAAGAGCUUGGGUUUUGAAGGCUUCCUUAUUGAAUAAUCUGGCCUAAUUUAAUUGGAAUUUGGCUGGUGUGAAAGGUAGUUUUUGAUUGCAUUUGCUCUUGAUCAUUUCUAUUAAAACUUUGAGAUCUAGAAAAGUAAUAUGCUUGUAUUUACUUAUCAUAGCAAUGGAGAUCUGAAUUGGCAGACUCUCUAUGAAAUUACCCGAUGAAUACAAAUAGCACAUUUAGUUUGGUUUCAUAUUGAUUUUUGCCAUUAUUAUUAAAACCCUCUGAUUUGAAGAAUGAGGUGCUUGUAUUUCCUUAAUAUCUUAUUACUGGGGUUUUGGUUAAUCUUGUAAAGCUUUUUCCUUUUGUGCAACCAAGCCUGAUUAAUUGGAGUUUUACAUAAGGCAAUUUUGGCUCUAAAAAGGGGGAAUAAGAGCUCAGUUCCCUCAGAUAAAAGAGUGAAGAAAUCUGUUCUUAUCAUGGGCCUCUUAAAACCAAGAGUAAAACUUUAAAACCAAGGGCUGGUGCCUAGGUGGGGACAGGGGGUGCACAAAGGCUUUGUUGGUCU